GAUGAACGCUGGCGGCGUGCCUAAUACAUGCAAGUCGAGCGAACGGACGAGAAGCUUGCUUCUCUGAUGUUAGCGGCGGACGGGUGAGCAACACGUGGAUAACCUACCUAUAAGACUGGGAUAACUUCGGGAAACCGGAGCUAAUACCGGAUAAUAUUUUGAACCGCAUGGUUCAAAAGUGAAAGACGGUCUUGCUGUCACUUAUAGAUGGAUCCGCGCUGCAUUAGCUAGUUGGUAAGGUAACGGCUUACCAAGGCAACGAUGCAUAGCCGACCUGAGAGGGUGAUCGGCCACACUGGAACGGGGACACGGUCCAGACUCCUACGGGAGGCAGCAGUAGGGAAUCUUCCGCAAUGGGCGAAAGCCUGACGGAGCAACGCCGCGUGAGUGAUGAAGGUCUUCGGAUCGUAAAACUCUGUUAUUAGGGAAGAACAUAUGUGUAAGUAACUGUGCACAUCUUGACGGUACCUAAUCAGAAAGCCACGGCUAACUACGUG
rnacentral:rRNA from 1 species